rnacentral:rRNA from 1 species
GACGAACCGUGCGAACGUUGUUCGGAUUCACUGGGCUUAAAGGGCGCGUAGGCGGCUUCGCAAGUCGGGGGUGAAAUCGUUCGGCCUAACCGGACAAGUGCUUCCGAUACUGCGGGGCUCGAGGGGGGUAGGGGCAUGCGGAACUUCCGGUGGAGCGGUGAAAUGCGUAGAUAUCGUCAAGAACACCGAUAGUGUAGACAGCUUACUAAGCUUUAACUGACGCUGAGGCACGAAAGUGUGGGGAUCAAACAGG